ensembl:misc_RNA Metazoa_SRP Metazoan signal recognition particle RNA
GCCAGGUAUGGUGGCGUGCCCCUGUAGUCCCAGCUACUCAAGAGGCUGAGGUGGGAGGAUUGCUUGAGCUCAGGAAUUCUGGACUGCAGUGAGCUGUGAUUGCACCACUGUACUCCAUCCUGGGCAACAGAGAGAGACCCCAUCUCUU